GGGAGUUCCUUGUCUGCUGUGAGGAUAAGGAAGAGUCAGUGCCUGGAGGAGCUGCCUACAAGAAACAUCAAGGAAAUUGCAGAUAAUACAUCAUAAGAAUAAAAUCUAACAAAGGAGGUCAUGAUAUGUAGGAUUAUGAAGAGAAUGAGGAAAGCACAGGUAAAGGGACAGAGAGCAGAGCCAGCCUUGGUAAGGAGACUGAACCAGAGAGGAGAUGCCAUGUCAGCAGUGCAUGGAGGACUUCUGAGCUGCCUUUAUUCCUUCAGAGCCAAACAAGAGGGUGAUGAAUGGAGAUAUUGUGGCAUGGGAACAGAGCCUGGGAUCUGCCUGAUGUUAGGCAGAAAUGAGAAUCCAGUGUUCUUUUGGAAGUACCACCCUUGCUAAUCCCACAGGAUUAACAGAGCCAUCUCUGGGGGAAGGGGCUGCUCCACUCAGCCUCAGACUGGGGCUUUGGAAUGCAGAACUUCACACAUAAAAUAAUCCUAUAAACCAGGAUGAAUUCAAUGAUUAUGAACUUAGGAAAAGUCCAUUUUGAAGAGCACGUCAUAGGAGUAUAAUCAACCCACCUCAUUCUUAUCUGCAACAGAUCUUGGGUUAAUAGAAGUAGGCUGAGUGUCUGGCUCAUGCUACUACUUAUAUUGCAAUUUUCACUCCAAAUAAUUGCAAAUUACUUUACAAAUUAUCUACACAGCCUGCCUGACCACUUUAAAGCAACUGCUGAUAGGGACAAGCUCAACCAACAUCAAGAGCUGUCAGGGGAUAUGCAGCUGGUGGAAAGCUGUGUCUGGAGUGACCAAGAUUCAGUUUGCUAAUCUAAAGAGUGACUAUCACUGCCUGCUGUGAUCCACUAAACAAUGCAGAGGUGACCAGAGAAAAUGAUGAUAGAAAAUUUCAAAGUUCCUUCUGUAUAAACAGGAGACAUCUCUACCCCAACGUUGCUACAAGGUGCAGUACUUGGUUUCCAAGGUUUCAUCUCAAAAGGAAACCUGUUGAGUAAAUUGUGAGAUUCAUUCUCUGUAUUCCAGAAUAGUGAAAGGCUCAGGGCAUCUCACAGGACUGAAAGCAUUUGGGUAUUUUAAAUGUGAUGCUUAAGAGACUAAACCACCCUCUCUGGGAACUGAGUUAAUGUUUCAAUUCCAAUUCACUUAAAAGCAUCUUACUGGUGAGACAAGGUAGAGGCAGGUUGCCAGAGCCUGAGGUAGGUAUUCCAAGUGCUUGUCAGGGGUGGAUAAUGCAGCACACUGCUGGUUUUUCAUGUUUCA